UUGCCACGAGAGAACCUUUAUGGUAACAUUACCUUUCCUUCAUCGUCAACAAAAUUCAAUCACAGAGGGAUCAGGUGGACGAUGAGGCAGGUGUGGUGGUCUAACAUGCAAUAUAUGUUGUCCACUGAAUAAUGGGAUGGGGAAGGACAAAGUGGGAAAGGAAAAUGAAAAAAAAAUCCUCAGCUAUUAAUUUUCUUAAAUGAGUAUAUCUAAUAGUUAUAAUUUGUUUUUCAAUGUGGAAAAAAUGUUUCACUUCUUUACAGUAGAAUUGGUCGAUAAUUAUUAAGACAAAAAUAGAGGAAAUUUGGGAUCCCAAAAUUCAUUUUGAUUUUUCAAUGUUAUUCUAUUUCUUUCCUAUUGUGUUUCGUUGUUAAGCAGGGUAUCAUCUCUUGUUGGUUUGUUUAUCUUCUUCUUGAUGUUGACGAAAUUCGAGACGAAGAGCAACCGUGUGAAGGGCCUGAGCUUCCACAAGAAGCGUCCAUGGAUCCUUGCGAGCCUCCACAGCGGCGUGAUCCAGCUGUGGGACUACCGCAUGGGCACCCUGGUCGAUCGCUUCGAGGAGCACGAGGGCCCCGUCCGUGGCGUCCACUUCCACGACUCCCAGCCCCUCUUCGUCUCCGGCGGCGACGACUACAAGAUCAAGCUGUGGAACUACAAGCUCCACCGCUGCCUCUUCAGCCUCCUGGGCCACCUUGAUUACGUCCGCACCGUCCAGUUCCACCACGAGAGCCCCUGGAUCGUCUCCGCCAGCGACGACCAGACCAUCCGUAUCUGGAACUGGCAGUCCCGCACCUGCAUUUCCGUCCUCACCGGCCACAACCACUACGUCAUGUGCGCCUCUUUCCAUCCCCGCGACGAUCUCCUCGUCUCCGCCUCCCUCGAUCAGACCCUCCGUGUUUGGGACAUCUCCCCUCUCAGGAAGAAAUCCCCCUCCUCCGACGACAUGCCUUUUGGCUCCCCCGACGCCGUCGUCAAGUACGUCUUGGAGGGACACGAUCGGGGCGUCAAUUGGGCCUCCUUUCACCCCGCUCUCCCCCUCAUCGUCUCCGCCGCCGAUGACCGCCAGCUCAAGCUCUGGAGAAUGAACGAUACGAAGGCAUGGGAGGUGGAUACUUUGAGAGGGCACAUGAAUAAUGUGUCAUGUGUUCUUUUUCAUGCCAAGCAGGAUAUUAUUGUGUCCAACUCUGAGGACAAGAGUAUUCGGGUGUGGGAUGCGACCAAGAGGACUGGGAUCCAGACGUUUCGCAGGGAGCAUGAUCGGUUUUGGAUUCUGGCUGCACAUCCUGAAAUGAAUCUGUUGGCGGCCGGUCAUGAUAGUGGGAUGAUUGUGUUUAAGUUGGAGAGGGAAAGGCCUGCGUUUGCUGUGAGUGGUGAUGCUUUGUUCUAUACUAGGGACCGGUUUUUGAGGUUCUAUGAGUUUUCGACACAGAGAGAGACACAGGUGCUGCCAAUUCGGCGGCCUGGAUCUCCAAGUCUUAAUCAGAGUCCAAGGACUCUUUCUUAUAGUCCGAGUGAAAAUGCAGUUCUGCUCUGUUCAGAUAUAGAUGGUGGAUCUUAUGAGCUGUAUUGCAUAUCCAAGGAUGGCUAUGGCAGGGGUGAUUUGCAGGAUGCCAAGAAAGGUGUUGGAGUAUCAGCAGUUUUCGUGGCUCGGAAUAGGUUUGCUGUGCUUGACAGAAGCAGCAACCAAGUCCUUUUGAAAAAUCUCAAGAAUGAGAUUGUUAAAAAGACUGUUCUUCCUAUUGCCACUGAUGCUAUAUUCUAUGCAGGAACGGGCAACUUGAUUUGUAGGUCAGAGGAUAGGGUUGUCCUGUUUGAUCUUCAGCAGAGAAUUGUUCUUGGUGAACUCCAGACCCCUUUUGUCAAGUAUAUUGUCUGGUCUAGUGAUAUGGAAACUGUUGCUUUGCUCAGCAAACAUGCCAUUAUCAUUGCUAACAAGAAGCUUGUGCACCAAUGCACUCUCCAUGAGACCAUUCGUGUAAAAAGUGGAGCCUGGGAUGACAAUGGUGUUUUCAUCUACACGACAUUAAAUCACAUCAAAUACUGCCUUCCCAAUGGAGAUAGUGGGAUAAUAAAGACAUUGGAUGUCCCCAUUUACAUCACUAAGGUUUCUGGAAACACCAUCUUCUGCUUGGAUCGGGAUGGGAAGAAAAGAGCCAUAGCUAUUGAUUCGACUGAAUAUAUUUUUAAACUCUCCUUGUUGAAGAAAAAAUAUGACCAUGUCAUGAACAUGAUAAAGAAUUCGCAGCUUUGUGGGCAGGCUGUGAUUGCUUAUCUCCAGCAAAAAGGCUUUCCUGAGGUUGCCCUCCAUUUUGUGAAUGAUGAGAGAAUACGGUUCAAUUUGGCGUUGGAGAGUGGAAACAUUCAAAUUGCUGUUGCGUCAGCUACAGCGAUUGAUGAGAAAGAUUACUGGUACCGUUUAGGGGUUGAGGCUCUUCGUCAGGGUAAUGCUGGGAUUGUGGAGUAUGCAUAUCAGCGUACCAAAAAUUUUGAGAGAUUAUCUUUCCUUUAUCUCAUCACGGGUAACUUGGAGAAACUUUCGAAGAUGCUGAAAAUUGCUGAAGUAAAGAAUGAUGUAAUGGGCCAGUUUCACAAUGCCAUGUAUAUGGGUGAUGUCCGAGAACGGGUUAAAAUCUUGGAGAAUGUGGGUCAUUUGCCUCUUGCUUACAUCACCGCAUCAGUCCAUGGGCUACAUGAUGUUGCCGAACGGCUUGCAGCUGAACUUGGGAACAAUGUUCCAUCUUUACCCGGGGGAAAAGUACCGUCUCUUUUAAUGCCACCGUCACCGCUCACAUGUGGUGGUGAUUGGCCCCUUCUUAGGGUCAUGCGAGGCUUAUUUGAUGGCGGGCUUGACAACAUGAAUCGGGGUGCCGCUGAUGAAGAAUACGAGGCAGCUGAUGCUGAUUGGGGUGAGGAGCUUGACUUGGUUGAUGUGGAUGACUUACAAAAUGGGGAAGUUGCUGCAAUUUUGGAGGAUGGGGAAGUGGCAGAUGAAAAUGAAGAAGAGGGUGGAUGGGAGAUGGAAGAUUUAGAGCUGCCCCCUGAAGCUGACACCCCAAAGGCUUUUCUCGGUACAAGAUCUGUUUUUGUGGCUCCAACCCCUGGCUUGCCUGUAAGCCAGAUAUGGAUUCAGAAAUCGUCUCUUGCAGCAGAUCAUGCAGCUGCUGGCAACUUUGAUACUGCAAUGCGGUUACUGAACCGUCAGCUUGGGAUAACAAACUUUUCUCCCUUGAGAUCCACAUUUCUUGAUCUUAGUACUGGCAGUCAUUCCUAUCUGCGUGCAUUUUCAUCUGCUCCGGUGAUAUCUUUUGCCAUUGAAAGAGGUUGGACUGAGUCAUCAAGUGCAAAUGUAAGAGGCCUGCCAGCAUUGCCUCUCAGACUGCCACAAUUGGAUGAAAGGCUCAGAGCUGGUUAUAAGUCAACAACUGCCGGGAAAUUUACCGAGGCUCUUAAGGCAUUCACCAGUAUUCUUCAUGCUAUUCCCUUGAUUGUGGUUGAGUCAAGGAGAGAAGUAGAUGAGGUGAAGGAAUUAAUCAUCAUAGUCAAAGAAUAUGUUUUGGGUUUGCAGAUGGAGUUGAAGAGAAGAGAAAUGAAGGACAAUCUAACUCGGCAGCAGGAGCUUGCAGCUUAUUUCACUCACUGCAACCUUCAAACCCCACAUUUGAGGCUAGCUUUGUUGAAUGCAAUGACUGUGUGCUUCAAGGCAAAGAACCUUGCCUCAGCUGCUAACUUUGCCAGGAGGCUGCUUGAGACCAAUCCUACUGUUGAAACCCAAGCCAAGACAGCAAGAAAAGUGCUUGCAGCUGCAGAGACAAAUAUGACUGAUGCCAAACCAUUGAACUAUGAUUUCAGAAACCCAUUUGUUACUUGUGGUGCAACCUAUGUGCCCAUCUAUCGAGGACAAAAGGAUGUCUCUUGCCCUUACUGCACUUCCCGUUUUGUGCCAAGCCAAGAGGGACAGCAAUGUACUGUGUGUGAUCUUGCAGUGGUCGGGGCAGAUGCUUCUGGAUUGCUGUGUUCACCUUCCCAGAUACGUUGAUUCUGCUGCUAGACCAGAAACAUUUUUUCCCCCAAUUUGUUUCAGAUGAUGGUAAAAUAUGUGUUCUAUGUUUAGUCUUAAGGCACCAAGCAACUCAACCAACAACGCAUUGAGAAAUUCUAGCCACAACACAUCAAAUUGCCUGUUCUAAGUGACCCAUUCUUUCUCUUCCCCACCGUGUUUCUCCCUAUCUAGUGCAUGGUGCAUCUGGCUUGUGUCUAAGUUUUGUUAUGACGAUAAAAAUGGACAUUGAGCAUCAAUUAUUGCAGAAGAUCCCUGAAACAGAGGCAGUGGAACCAAUAGCUAAUGAAGAAACCAAUCUUGUGGGUACCAGAUUUGGAGGAAUGGCAUAAGACGGAGAGGGUUAUACAAAGACGGUUGCAGAAAAUUGGAACAACUUUCAACCUUGAACGUGUAUAUCUAAUAUUUCUUGAAGCAAUUUUUACAUGUUAGAAGUAAUGAUUGUCGAGACAUUAUAUAGUUUCCUUUAGAGGCCUUUAUCAAUAACGGAAGCAUUUAGAUGUUUCCUACUAGAACCUAGAAAUAGUUUGGAAGAAUGGAUGCUUCCGAGUGAGUUUCUCUGUUUAUCUAUUUCCCUUUUCCUUUCCUGUUUUAUAUACUUGAAAAAUAUUUUCAACGUGAUAUACCUAUUUCAUAAUUAGGGAUGUUAGUAUUUUAUACACUUAAAUUGAGAGGGUGUGCUUGUGUUGUAUCAGAUGAUGGUAAAAUAUAUGUUGUGUUUAGUUGGGGUCCAAAUUGUUGGUUAUUAAAGAGAGUUGUGUUUAUCUAAUAGUUAAGCAACUCUUUGAAUACACCGAAUAUGAUUGCUGGUUGUAAUCUUGCUCUUUCGUUAUAAAUGUAUGUCAGUUUCCCUUUGAUGA